UAAUACGGAGGGUGCAAGCGUUAUCCGGAUUUACUGGGUUUAAAGGGUGUGUAGGCGGAUAUUUAAGUCAGAGGUGAAAUCUCCGGGCUCAACCCGGAAACUGCCUUUGAUACUAUUUAUCUUGAAUUUCGUUGAGGUUGGCAGAAUAUAUCAUGUAGCGGUGAAAUGCAUAGAUAUGAUAUAGAAUACCGAUUGCGUAGGCAGCUGGCUGAACGACGAUUGACGCUGAGGCACGAAAGCGUGGGUAGCGAACAGGAUUAGAUACCCUGGUAGUCCACGCCCUAAACGAUGAUUACUCGACAUACGCGAUACACAGUGUGUGUCUGAGCGAAAGCAUUAAGUAAUCCACCUGGGAAGUACGUCCGCAAGGAUG
rnacentral:rRNA from 1 species